rnacentral:rRNA from 1 species
AAGGCCUACCAAGGCGACGAUCUAUAGCUGGUCUGAGAGGACGAUCAGCCACACUGGGACUGAGACAUGGCCCAGACUCCUACGGGAGGCAGCAGUGGGGAAUAUUGGACAAUGGGCGCAAGCCUGAUCCAGCAAUACCGCGUGUGUGAAGAAGGCCUUAGGGUUGUAAAGCACUUUCAAUUGGGAGGAAAACCUGCCGGUCAAUACCCGGUAGCUUGACAUUACCUUUAGAAGAAGCACCGGCUAACUCCGUGCCAGCAGCCGCGGUAAUACGGAGGGUGCGAGCGUUAAUCGGAAUUACUGGGCGUAAAGCGUGCGUAGGCGGUUCGUUAAGUCAGAUGUGAAAGCCCUGGGCUCAACCUGGGAACGGCAUUUGAAACUGGCGGACUAGAGUUUAGUAGAGGGGAGUGGAAUUUCAGGUGUAGCGGUGAAAUGCGUAGAUAUCUGAAGGAACACCAGUGGCGAAGGCGACUCCCUGGACUAGAACUGACGCUGAGGUACGAAAGCGUGGGUAGCAAACAGGAUUAGAUACCCUGGUAGUCCACGCCGUAAACGAUGUCGACUAGCCGUUGGUCCUAUUUACAGGAUUAGUGGCGCAGCUAACGCAUUAAGUCGACCGCCUGGGGAGUACGGCCGCAAGGUUAAAACUCAAAUGAAUUGACGG